ACAACCUUAAUACAGUGGUACUAGAAUUUGCCUUUGCCACUCUGUGAGAUCCAUGGGUCUUACCAUUGAAUUUUGCCACCUGACCCAUUAGGACCUGAGACAAAACUCUCCUGCUGUCAACCACUUACACUAAAACCAACCCAAGUUAAGCAGCCAAGAAAUAAGAAGCAAGGUAAGUUCUGGUUGCAUAAGGUAGGAUAUUCUCCUUCCCAGAGCUGCCUCCAGGGAGUACAGGGCCCUGGGAAAAGACUUUUUGCAAUACAGAGCUCCUAACUCUAUAAAUAAUUUGAUUUAAAAAUGUUUCAAAAUACAUGGACCCAUGAGAAGUAUAGUGUUUUAUUUAUGAAGAUGGACAGAGAAGAUUUACUUAUGUAUUGUUAAUUGUCCUGUUGGCAUGUUGAAAGAUUCUCUGUAGGAUCCAAGCACCAUCUCUUCCGGUUCAAAUUCAGGAACCAUCCCAUCAGGCAUUGUAUUGACCAAUGCAUUCUCCCUGGUUCAAUUUAUAUGUCCCAUCAGGAGAAAAUGGUAGCAUUGCUGUAAUCACAAGGACACAGGUCUUCAGAGCCUGUUUACAUUAAACAGUAUAGCUCUUCUUUCCUCUCAAGUUCCCCAAUAGCAUGUCUGUAAUACUGGUCACAUGUUUAACCAUGAUACUGUAUCAUCCAUCCACACUGCCUUCCAAUGACACUUUCUAAAAGGUUGGUACUGUUUCACUGAUGCAAGCCUUCCCCAAAAUACAUAGGUAACUGUGAACCAUUUUUGGUUUUGGCCCUUUUACCAUUCAGAAUUUUAUGGUAUAAACAGAGAACAAAGUAUUUUCCAGUCUUGUCUUCUCUUGGACUCUUGAUGUAGUAAUCAUUGCAUUUCCAGAAUGGGAGGUCUUUCGGUGUUGACCAAACCCUUGCCUUCCACACACUAACACCAGUGGGGAGGUCAGGUGAGGGGUUCAUGUCUGAAGACAGAAGCACAGUUCCAUUCCUGCAAGAUAUGUACUUCCUUCUUCAUGGCUUAAGACAGGGAGAGCACAACAUCACCACAUCAAUGGCAGAUAAGAGAGGAUAUUGAUUGGAAGGCCCACUGGUGUUCAGUCUUGAAAACCAUCCUUGAAGGACUACCUAACACAUGACACAGAAUCUACAGCAAUGGUGAUUAUCAUUCUGAAUGCCAGAGGUUGGGGGAAGAGGAGGAGUGCAAGGUAAAAGACACCUCCCACUAUGCUUGCUAUCCUAAGGUUCUACUGACAAGAGGUGGCACCACAGUCAAAACACAGAUGGACAAAGCCCAACCGGUGGCCCAAACCCAAGAGUUGUUGGUAGACUAUUAACAGCUCUGACCCUGGAAGUCAUCUUGUGUUGGAUGUGAAAGUCACCCCAAAUUAGUGUGUUAGCACCACUCUGGUGGCCCAAUCUUGGGUUAUCCCACACUACAUCAGCCAGUAGGAGUGAUCUGCUUGCCAAAUUGUCCAACUCACAUUUGGGCCCAACCACCAGACUCUGAGAGGACCAUGUAGGCAUGAGUUCCAGAGCUCCUCAUGUGCACGGCAGAGGAUCAGAAAGCAUCUUUAAGGGGACAAAUGAAGACCAGGAUCCAUGUGGGUCUGGGUCUGAGCCAGGGAUAUCUCACUUAAAGAACAUUGCCAGUCUUGGCCGUACCAGACCCUAAGAAGGAUUUAGAAAUUCAAGGAAAGCCCUCCAAAGAAAGAGUUGGGGGCUGGAAUAGGGGAAGAGUGUGAGACAGUAGGGAGAGACUGCAGAGUCUAGGCACAAAUAAUUAUGGACAGUAUAAGCAGGAUAUUCAAGGAGCCCAAUCCAGGGCCCCAUUGUAGAGAAUGGAAAUGAAAGGAUCAAGAUAAAAUCAAAUGCAAAAAGUAAGAGGCACCUUGUCCUACAUUGGAAAGAAAAUCCUCUUCAGUCUAGGAGUUAAAAGACUGACGUUUGACUUCAGGCUUAGGAGAGUCAUUUAAAAUUCCAAAGCCUCAAUUUUCCACUUAAAAGUGAGAGUUAUACUCCAUAAGCUCUAAACUCUCACUCAGUUUAAAUAUUCCUAGUCUGUGCUUUUCUGGAACGGUUCAUUAUAAUUCACAAAGGAGUUGAAUCUCUGGAAC
rnacentral:lncRNA from 1 species